GCUACAAAACCUUCAGGUAAAUUCGAGGUGCCAAAGCUAACCUUAUAACCGGCUACACGUUAAAAAAAAAAGUUACCAUUUUGGUAUUUUUUUUUUCUUAAUGAGAAAAAUAGUUUUAAAAGAAAUUUACAAUAGACCAUCUGCUUCUUCCACCAUCCUCAAAGCUGAAUCUAUAAGUUUACUAGCUCCAACACCCCUUCUCAUAGAUUUUGCUGCUUAAUUGCAGGAAAAGCAAAUAAGGUAAUCUACGUAGAGGCUGCUAAAAUCGAAGAAGGAAUGCGGGGAAUGUCGAGAAGAAGGGCACAUGAGGAACAAUUGCCCAAGGUUGAACGCUGAGGUGCAAAGAGAGGGCCGUGCAAGUCCAGGUAGCCAUUUACAGUCAAAUGAAACAAAAUUUGAUCUGUCCCAACCCCAAGCUGGUUUGCAAUAUGCACAGCUGAAAGAGAGGCCGGUAUUUCAAAGAAUUGCGGUAGAAAACACAGUGAAGGAGUAUACAAUGCUUUUUUGGGAACGAUAUGUCACUGAUCAUAAAUCAAAGUGCAAAUGUACACUCUCUUUCAUUCAUUAUGCAUGACUCAGAGCCGGCAUUAAGAUCGAAAAAAACAAGUGUAUGCUGAUAGACCACCACGACGGUCAACGAGGGUGAUAGUAAGGAAUAAAAAGUAUUUGGAUUAACUAUGUCAAUUAUUUAUUCAGCAGCAAUUAUAUUUUUUUAUUUCUUUGUUGUUUACUUGGUCAUGAUUCUGUUAACGAAUCUGGCUAAGAUAUCUCCUAAGUGCUGUUAGUGGCCAUUAGAA